rnacentral:rRNA from 1 species
GACGAACCGUGCGAACGUUGUUCGGAAUCACUGGGCUUAAAGGGCGCGUAGGCGGGUGUGCAAGUCUGUGGUGAAAGCCUCCAGCUUAAACUGGAGAAGUGCCAUGGAUACUGCACAUCUUGAGGAGGGUAGGGGCAUCUGGAACGGUCGGUGGAGCGGUGAAAUGCGCAGAUAUCGGGAGGAACACCGGUGGCGAAGGCAAUCCCCUGGGCCUGCACUGACGCUCAUGCACGAAAAGCGUGGGGGAGCAAAACAGG